AAGGCUUCAAGGAAGAAGCAACAGCUCCACCAUCAUCACCCAAAGCUGAAAUUCUAUUUAAACUAUUCCCUGCAAACCAUUGCUCAUCCCCACAAUAAUACAAAC